GUUUAUUUUUGAGAACUCUGGUCAUAAUACCAUGUACAUUAGUUUAUAUACCUCACAUUUUGUCCAAUAGCGUUUUAGAUGCAUUUUAGAUGUCCCUCCUCUUCUCCGACAAAGGCAAAGCAACUUCAAAAGUCCAUUCCAACCCCCUAACGCACUUACACACAAUAUCUGGAUUAUCUCCUGAAGUCUCACCACAGUUUAUUACCACUUAGCAGAGAGUUCCAGUCCCCCCCAGAUACAGAAAGGACAGGGAGAGCCCCUCCAGGUUAUCUUAUCUCCACAGAGUUAUAGCUGGGUCGGUUCAAACAUAGGUUAAUGACCCUCUUUGCUUACUUUAGACACACACACACAUACAUUCCUUCUUCCACACUGGUUAUCAUUUCCAAUUACCCUCUGUCCAUGCUACAAAACCUCUUUUCUUAGGAACUAACAUUAUUAAUCAGAUAUUGUAAAACAGGGUAGAAUUGAAUUAGUUAUAGUUCUAUUUAAAUGUACAAAUUUUUUAGUCAUUUUUCAUAAAAUUCCUAACAGCAACCAUUUCAUUUCUCACUCAACGGCACACUUUCCCAAACAUAACAAAUAAAAUAAAAAAUAAACACACCACACCAUCCACACAUACUGUGCCUUCUGCUUACUGAGUUUUUAUCUUCACCAUGUUGAAUUAGUGCUUUUGUGUUCCAAUUAGUUACUUGUGAAGAUAGACCGAAAAGCUAUAUUUGUUGUUGUAUUAUUACCAUUCCCGGUGGUGUCACGCCCUGACCUUAGUUAUGUUUGAUUUCUUUAUUAUUUUGGUUAGGUCAGGGUGUGACGAGGGUGGUAUGUGUAGUUUUUGUAUUGUCUAGGGGGUUUUGUAUUGUCUAGGUUUUUUUUGUAUGUCUGGGGUUUUUUUGUAUAUCUAGGUGUUCAUAUGUCUAUGGUUGCCUAGAUUUGUUCCCAAUCAGAGGCAGCUGUUUAUUGUUGUCUCUGAUUGGGGACCAUAUUUCGGUAGCCAUAUUCCUUGGGUAUUUUGUGGGUUAUUUUCUAUGUGUAGUUAAAUGUCAGCACUAGUUGUUUAUAGCUUCACGUUCAUUUUGUUAGUUUGUUUAAGUGUUCUUCGUUUUAAUAAAAGAAGAAUGUAUUCCAAUCACGCUGCGCCUUGGUCUCGUCGUAUCGACGAAUGUGACGGGGUGAAAAUAUUGAAUUGUCUGUGUCUGUAGAAAUCACGUUUUCAUUUUGAAAUCGGUUCCUUCCAUUACCUGUCUCAGUCCCGCCUCCAAAGAAUGCAUCUUUAUUUGUGUUUGAGUGAGCGCAAACAUUCAACAACAAUGAUUCCCUGUCUUAGGUCAGUUAGGAUCAACACUUUAUUGUAAGAAUGUGAAAUGUCAGAAUAAUCGAAGACAGAAAUAUUUAUUUCAGCUUUUAUUUCUUUCAUCACAUUCCCAGUGGGUCAGAAGUUUACAUACACUCAAUUAGUAUUUAGUAGCAUUGCCUUUAAAUGGUUUAAUUUGGGUCAAACGUUU
ensembl:lncRNA